UACAGAGGGUGCAAGCGUUAAUCGGAAUUACUGGGCGUAAAGCGUGCGUAGACGGUUACAUAAGUCGGGUGUGAAAGCCCCGGGCUCAACCUGGGAAUUGCAUUCGAGACUGCGUAGCUAGGGUGCGGAAGAGGGAAGCGGAAUUUCCGGUGUAGCGGUGAAAUGCGUAGAUAUCGGAAGGAACACCGGUGGCGAAAGCGGCUUCCUGGUCCAGCACCGACGUUCAGGCACGAAAGCGUGGGGAGCAAACAGG
rnacentral:rRNA from 1 species